rnacentral:lncRNA from 1 species
CUCGUGACGUGUGCUGGGGACCAACGGGUACCGGAGCUGUGGAGGGAAGAGCAUCCCCUUCCCCUCCCGCCUCCGCUGGAUAAAACCGUCUAAGCAGCCUUCGUGCCUUCCCCGGGACGCCUUUCCGGGCCGCAGGAGGAGGUAGAGCCCGAGGAACCUCCGGUUUGUAGGCAGCACGGAGAGUUUUCAGUGCAGGGCAGGAGGAACGAGGGACAGCCAGCUCCGUAGCCGCGAUAAACAGCUGCGGUUGGUGCUGAGGCGCUCCUGGCCUCCUCAGCGCGGGAACGAGCUAUUCCUCCUGACUUUCAGGAUCAGUGCAAGUCUCACACGUCUGUAGAAGUAGCACCGAUGGCAGGCAACAUUUAAACUUAAAAACAAACAACAAAAACAGCAACAUAAUCUCCACUUGGAAAUCUGUUAAGUCAGUGUGGACAAGAAUAUUUACAUUUUAGGUACCAGAGGUACUUAAAGCAGCUCUUACUGCACCCGAGAAGAUGGCGGCACUGAGUGAAUGUGAGGAGGCGAUCAAAGUUGAUGAAAUUCACCACUUGUUUCUUUACAAACUGCUUUUCUGACCAAACAUGCAGCUGCAGUACUAUUUCAUUUUGAUGAGCUGGUUCUUAAGGACAUGUUUUUACUGUGGUCAGCUUACUUCCCAGCUGAGCUUUGUACACACAUGCAGCACCUUGCUGUCAGUAUUUUUGAACCCAUUUAUUCUUAAGCAAAUUUUCUGACUAAAGUCGUUGCAUUUUGAUCUAAAUCUUCUACAGAAUGCCAAACCUAAUGAAAUGGACAGCACUGUAGAUUAAGAUGAUUCCUAGCUUCCCCUGCUGACUUUUUCUUAUCACAUUAGGAGUAAUAAUCAUCUUCAAGUGCAUCCAUUGCCUUUACUGCUGUAAACCAUACUGCUGUCAUUGCCUGCAGCAUUUCUGUAGGAGCAGGUCAGUUGCAGCACAGCAUUGUACCCCAGCUGGUGCAGGUUACCAUUAUGAUGGUCUGUUUCCUCACAGCUUCCAAUGUACUAGACAUUUCUGUUUUGGAGUAUGCACAUUUGCACUCCCCUGUCAAAGCCUGCUGAGGACAACUACUACAAGCUUCUCAUAAUCCUGUGGUCCAGCCAACUGUCCUAUACAGGAAUCAGCACAGAAAGAGCAUGAGGUCUGUAUGCGCAUCCACAAAAGGAAGAGCAUGAGGUCAAAAUGCCAUCUCUGAAGGACUGCCAGAAGUUCAAAUGCAAAGUGAUGACAAACAAUGAAUGUCAGGAUUUUUCAGCAAUACUGUGAUAAGUAGAAGAUGGAUAAAUUCAUCCAUUCCAGGCCAAUCAGAAGGAAGAAACAGGCUUUUUGACUUCUGAUGACUUCAGUUCAAGUCCCAGUUGGGCUCCUGAUCAGCAGGGUAGCUGAUUUCCCAAUGAAGAAAGAGAGGAAAUGUGUAAACUUGUUGAAGUGCUCCACAAGCUCCAGCUUGCAAACCUCGCAGAGGCUGCAGUCCAUCCAGUGCUCAGACUCUCAC